ensembl:lncRNA
CAAGCGCAGUGGCGCAGGGCUUGCACUAGCAGGCCAUCUUCCCAUUGGCCGUGCGUUCCGAGGGCUCAGGCGCAGUGGUGAGGGAGGGUGGCAACAACGUGGUUCGCACCACUCCGAGGCGACACUGAGGAGGCGCGUGAUUCCAGUUCAGCUUACGGUUGAGCUUACGGUUCAAUUUACGGGAUCUCUCACAGCACUGGACCUGGAGCAGCAGUCCUGCUCUGGGGGAGGAAGUCUGCCUCUUUCCUCAGCUAGCCAGCCUAUAUUUGCCUUCUAAUGGACUGACCCAGCUUCCAAUGAUUCUUGGCAACUCACUUGGACCCGGCUGCCUCAAGGAUUCAAGAACGCAACCACUCUGUUCUGUGAGGCCUUCCAGAAGGACUUACUUGGUGAGUUUUCGAUCCCAUGACCCUAACCUCAUCUUGCUUCAAUAUGUGGAAGAUCUGUUGUUAGCUGCUGCCAGUUGUUCAGAAUGCCUUCAGGAAACAAGAGCUCCUACGAUUGCUAGAGGAGUUGGGCUAAUGUGUCUUGGUUAAAAAGGCACAACUCUGUGCUUCCCAAGCAUCGUACCUGUGGUAUGAGACCUCAAAAGGAAGAAAAACUUUGCCUCAGGCAAGGAAAUGGGCCAUUCUGCAGAUACCCAUGCCAACUACCAAGAAAUAGUUACAAGAAUUCCUAGAUGCAGCUGGAUACUGUGGCCUCUGGAUACCUGGGUUUGCCAAGAUAGCACAGCCCUGAAAUCAAGCCCUAGAGUGGAGAACAAAAGAAGAAAAGGUGUUCCAGGAUUUAAAACAAGCUCUGGUGUCAGCCCUGACUCUGGUGUUGCCUGGCAUCAAUCACCAAACCGUUCCAACUGUUCACUCAUGAGGUUCUCAGUCUGGUAACACUGAUGCCACAUGAUGACCCCAAUACCCCAAUGCAUGACUGAGGAGGUGUUGGACCACACCUAGGGAGGCUGCUCAGACCUAAUGGACAUCCCCCAGCUGAGGCUGACACCACUCUCUUCACGGAUGGAAGUAGCAUGGUGCCAGGGGACACUUCCUCAAGGCCUUCCAGAAAGGGGCUCAUCCUGCUGUGGAAUGGAGCAUACACUGUCAUCUUCAGCACUCCCUUCACUCUCAAGGUCAGCAGAAUCUCAGCAUGGAUUCAUCAUUCUCGUGUCAAACAGGGGAAAUAAUGGACAGCCAAACCAGGGCCAGACUCUUGAAGACUAGUCCAAUAAUGAUCAUGAUCCUUGCCCUUAUAAUCAUUGAAAUGACAGGACUGGGCUCUGAAGGAGGAAUAUCCUGAGGGGAGAAGUACUCCUUUCUCCUUACCUCCUUUUCUAUUGGAAGGGUAAUCCUUAAUGAAACUUGGAAUUUCCAUGCAGGGUCAGACACGAUCCUCUUCAAGUUAGAUCUUUGCCAACUGUUUCAUGUGUUCCCACAUUCGCAGACAGGGUUAUGUGAUAGGUUUGGUACUUGUGGGAAAUCAGAUCAGAUGGGUUGUGGAGAUUCCUCAAGGGAAAAAGGACUGCAGGGCUUGGCUUUCUGUAUGUGUCCAGGCCAGGACCCUUUCAUAUCCUCCUGCCUCCAGUCAUCAGUACUAGUGUCCCUACUGGCUCUGUAUAACUGUGGCCUCCUAUUCCGGGGGACCCAACCGCACUUCUGACUUAAUUGCC